AUGGAUGCCCGCGGCCCCGCCUUCCUGUGUCUCCACCUCGCCGUUCUCCGCCAGUCUCCUCCCCGUGCUGACGAACUCCUGCCCGAGCCGCUCUCUCCGACCAACUCUGCUGCUGACGCCGCCCGGACCUGCUUGCGUCCUCCCGCGUCGCCUUAUGCACUGUACGAGCCAAGCUCGGCCAUCCCAUCAAGAUCCAACACAAGCUGCCCGAGACCUUGGCCAGAACCGCAAGUCGUUGCCUCUUUGCACCUGCGAUGUGUUGCCGUGGACGCAUGCAACCCUGGAAUCAAUCCCAAGCCCCAAGUACCACGACACUACGAAGACCGGACCGACAAGUACCACGAUGUCCGUCGGUCGUCAAGUACCUUCGGAUACGUCAAGUUAUCUACCGUCGCAAGAAUCAAGACCGGCAAGUUCAAAGACCCCAAGUACCUCUUCGAAAUGACCGAGUACCAUUACCGUCGGACGCUUGAACGACUACAGGCCGAAACGUCAAGUUCCUCGAUGAACCAUGUAUGA
rnacentral:rRNA from 1 species